UACGUAGGGGGCUAGCGUUGUCCGGAAUCAUUGGGCGUAAAGCGCGUGUAGGCGGUCCGGUAAGUCCGCUGUGAAAGUCGAGGGCUCAACCCUCGAAUGCCGGUGGAUACUGUCGGGCUUGAGUACGGGAGAGGCGAGUGGAAUUCCUGGUGUAGCGGUGAAAUGCGCAGAUAUCAGGAGGAACACCGGUGGCGAAGGCGGCAUCCUGGACCGGCAUUGACGCUGAGGAGCGAAAGCCAGGGGAGCAAACGGG
rnacentral:rRNA from 1 species